rnacentral:rRNA from 1 species
GCUGGCGGCAGGCCUAACACAUGCAAGUCGAACGGAGUUAUAUUGUAGCUUGCUAUGGUAUAACUUAGUGGCAGACGGGUGAGUAAUGUAUAGGAAUCNACCNANUAGUACGGAAUAAUUGUUGGAAACGGCAACUAAUACCGUAUACGCCCUACGGGGGAAAAAUUUAUUGCUAUUAGAUGAGCCUAUAUUAGAUUAGCUAGUUGGUGGAGUAAUAGCCUACCAAGGCAAUGAUCUAUAGCUGAUCUGAGAGGAUGAUCAGCCACACUGGAACUGAGAUACGGUCCAGACUCCUACGGGAGGCAGCAGUGGGGAAUAUUGGACAAUGGGCGAAAGCCUGAUCCAGCCAUGCCGCAUGAGUGAAGAAGGCCUUUGGGUUGUAAAGCUCUUUUAGUGAGGAAGAUAAUGACGGUACUCACAGAAGAAGUCCUGGCUAACUCCGUGCCAGCAGCCGCGGUAAUACGGAGAGGGCUAGCGUUAUUCGGAAUUAUUGGGCGUAAAGGGCGCGUAGGCGGAUUAGUAAGUUAAAAGUGAAAUCCCAAGGCUCAACCUUGGAAUUGCUUUUAAAACUGCUAAUCUAGAGAUUGAAAGAGGAUAGAGGAAUUCCUAGUGUAGAGGUGAAAUUCGUAAAUAUUAGGAGGAACACCAUUGGCGAAGGCGUCUAUCUGGUUCAAAUCUGAAGCUGAUGCGCGAAAGCGUGGGGAGCAAACAGGAUUAAAUACCCUGGUAGUCCACGCUGUAAACUAUGAAUGUUAAAUAUGGG